UUGUUUUUUUUUAAAGAUUUGAAGGCUCUUUCAAACUCUUCAAUCGAUAAGUCUAGAAAUAAGUCAUGGGAAGAAAGUAAAUUAUUUGAAGUUGUCAAAAAAUCAUUAAAGGAAAUAUUUGUAGAUGGAAUCCUAUCAGCCAACCUACUUCCGAUAUCAGUAAAGUAUUUAUUAAAUUCUUUCGCUAUUUCAUUUGGUUCAUAUACACAUACAUUGUUUAUCUUAAUCAUUUUCGGAAGGAAAUUUGAACAGGUUAUUUCGGAAACGGGAAAAUUCGCAUCGUACACCGAGAAGAAUGUAUUAAAGAACUUAUUAUAGAUUACAUUUAUGUCUUCAUUAAAAUUUAUAUGCUUCC